rnacentral:rRNA from 1 species
AUUGAACGCUGGCGGCAUGCUUUACACAUGCAAGUCGAACGGUAACAGGGAGCUUGCUCCGCUGACGAGUGGCGAACGGGUGAGUAAUGCGUCGGAACGUGCCGAGUAGUGGGGGAUAACGCAUCGAAAGGUGUGCUAAUACCGCAUACGUACUGAGGUAGAAAGUGGGGGACCUUCGGGCCUCACGCUAUUCGAGCGGCCGACGUCUGAUUAGCUAGUUGGUGAGGUAAAGGCUCACCAAGGCGACGAUCAGUAGCGGGUCUGAGAGGAUGGUCCGCCACACUGGGACUGAGGCACGGCCCAGACUCCUACGGGAGGCAGCAGUGGGGAAUUUUGGACAAUGGGCGCAAGCCUGAUCCAGCCAUGCCGCGUGUCUGAAGAAGGCCUUCGGGUUGUAAAGGACUUUUGUCCGGGAGCAAAUGCUGGUGGCUAACAUCCACCGGAGCUGUGAGUACCGGAAGAAUAAGCACCGGCUAACUACGUGCCAGCCGCCGCAGUAAAAC